GGGUGAGUAUCGCGUUUGUAACCUUCCUCUAACUGGAGCAUAGCCCGAAGAAAUUCGGAUUAAUACUCCAUAAUACUAUAAGCUGGCAUCAGCUUACAGUUAAAGCUCCGGCGGUUAGAGAUGGGCAUGCGUGACAUUAGCUGGUUGGUGAGGUAACAGCUCACCAAGGCUACGAUGUCUAGGGGGUCUGAGAGGAUGGUCCCCCACACUGGUACUGAGACACGGACCAGACUCCUACGGGAGGCAGCAGUGAGGAAUAUUGGUCAAUGGGCGAAAGCCUGAACCAGCCAUGCCGCGUGAAGGAUGACAGCCCUACGGGUUGUAAACUUCUUUUAUACGGGAAGAAACACUCCUACGUGUAGGAGUUUGACGGUACCGUACGAAUAAGCAUCGGCUAACUCCGUGCCAGCAGCCGCGGUAAUACGGAGGAUGCAAGCGUUAUCCGGAUUUAUUGGGUUUAAAGGGUACGUAGGCGGAAGAUUAAGUCAGUGGUGAAAUCCUGCAGCUUAACUGUAGAACUGUCAUUGAUACUGGUUUUCUUGAAUGUAGUUGAGGUAGGCGGAAUGUGUAAUGUAGCGGUGAAAUGCUUAGAUAUUACACAGAACACCGAUUGCGAAGGCAGCUUACUAAACUGCGAUUGACGCUGAGGUACGAAAGCGUGGGGAGCGAACAGGAUUAGAUACCCUGGUAGUCCACGCUGUAAACGAUGAUCACUCGUUGUUGGCAAUACACCGUCAGCGACUGAGCGAAAGCAUUAAGUGAUCCACCUGGGGAGUACGACCGCAAGGUUGAAACUCAAAGGAAUUGACGGGGGCCCGCACAAGCGGAGGAACAUGUGGUUUAAUUCGAUGAUACGCGAGGAACCUUACCUGGGCUUAAAUGUAGAACGACGGAUCGGGAAACUGAUCUUUCUUCGGACGGUCUGCAAGGUGCUGCAUGGCUGUCGUCAGCUCGUGCCGUGAGGUGUCGGGUUAAGUCCCAUAACGAGCGCAACCCUCAUCAUUAGUUGCCAGCGGGUAAUGCCGGGGACUCUAAUGAAACUGCCGGUGUAAACCGAGAGGAAGGUGGGGAUGACGUCAAGUCAGCACGGCCCUUAUGUCCAGGGCUACACACGUGUUACAAUGGUCGGUACAAAGGGCAGCUACCUGGUAACAGGAUGCUAAUCUCGAAAACCGGUCUCAGUGUGGGGCGGUGUGUGCAAC
rnacentral:rRNA from 1 species